AGAAUACAAUUUUGAAUUUACCUUGGUGGCCUCGGGAACCCCUUGCACUGUGAUCAAGGUUGACUUUUUACACAAUCUACUGGUGGAACUCAUGACGACGACGACGAUGAAUUGCAACUUGGCAAUUAUGAUAAUAGUGUAACAAGUGAAGGAUAUAGUGAUUUAGAUUGAUGUUUUUGAUGACAACUCCUGGGCAGCGAGGAAAGAGGGUGAAGAGAGUUAAGAGGUUGAGGGAUCGCAC